rnacentral:rRNA from 1 species
GAUGAAUGCUGGCGGCGUGCUUAACACAUGUAAGUCGAACGAUGAAGCCGGAGCUUGCUCCGGUGGAUUAGUGGCGAACGGGUGAGUAACACGUGAGCAAUCUGCCCUUGACUCUGGGAUAACUGCGGGAAACUGUAGCUAAUACCGGAUACGACACCUUGGGGCAUCCCAGGGUGUGGAAAGAAUUUCGGUCAAGGAUGAGCUCGCGGCCUAUCAGCUAGUUGGUGAGGUAAUGGCGCACCAAGGCGACGACGGGUCGCCGGCCGGAGAGGGUGACCGGCCACACUAGAACUGAGACACGGUCCAGACUCCUACGGGAGGCAGCAGUGGGGAAUAUUGCACAAUGGGCGAAAGCCUGAUGCAGCAACGCCGCGUGAGGGAUGAAGGCCUUCGGGUUGUAAACCUCUUUUAGCAGGGAAGAAGCGAAAGUGACGGUACCUGCAGAAAAAGCACCGGCUAACUACGUGCCAGCCGCCGCAGUAA